rnacentral:rRNA from 1 species
UACGUAGGGACCAAGCGUUGUUCGGAUUUACUGGGCGUAAAGGGCGCGUAGGCGGCGCGGUAAGUCAGCUGUGAAAUUUCCGAGCUUAACUCGGAACGGUCAGCUGAUACUGCUGUGCUAGAGUACAGAAAGGGCAAUCGGAAUUCUUGGUGUAGCGGUGAAAUGCGUAGAUAUCAAGAGGAACACCUGAGGCGAAGGCGGGUUGCUAGGCUGAUACUGACGCUGAGUGCGCGAAAGCUAGGGUAGCAAACGGG